UACGGGAGGCUAACAAUGCAAGUCGAGGGGUAACGGAAGUAGCUUGCUACUAGACGACGACCGGCGCACGGGUGAGUAACGCGUAUGUAAUCUGCCUUGUACAGAGGGAUAGCCCAGAGAAAUUUGGAUUAAUACCUCAUAGUAUUACCGAAUCGCAUGAUUCGGUAAUUAAAGCUCCGGCGGUACAAGAUGAACAUGCGUGACAUUAGCUAGUUGGUAAGGUAAUGGCUUACCAAGGCCACGAUGUCUAGGGGUUCUGAGAGGAUGAUCCCCCACACUGGUACUGAGACACGGACCAGACUCCUACGGGAGGCAGCAGUGAGGAAUAUUGGUCAAUGGACGCAAGUCUGAACCAGCCAUCCCGCGUGAAGGAUGACUGCCCUAUGGGUUGUAAACUUCUUUUAUAUGCAAAUAAACCUACUUUCGUGAAAGUAGCUGAAGGUAGCAUAUGAAUAAACACCGGCUAACUCCGUGCCAGCAGCCGCGGUAAUACGGAGGGUGUAAGCGUUAUCCGGAUUUAUUGGGUUUAAAGGGUACGUAGGCGGUAAUAUAAGUCAGUGGUGAAAUCCUGCAGCUCAACUGUUGAACUGCCAUUGAAACUGUAUUACUUGAG
rnacentral:rRNA from 1 species